UACGAAGGGGGCUAGCGUUACUCGGAAUUACUGGGCGUAAAGCGUGCGUAGGUGGUGAGUUAAGUCUGUCGUGAAAGCCCCGGGCUCAACCUGGGAAUGGCGAUGGAUACUGGCUCGCUAGAGUGCGGUAGAGGGUAGUGGAAUUCCCGGUGUAGCGGUGAAAUGCGUAGAGAUCGGGAGGAACACCAGUGGCGAAGGCGGCUACCUGGACCAGCACUGACACUGAGGCACGAAAGCGUGGGGAGCAAACAGG
rnacentral:rRNA from 1 species